AGAAUUGAACUUUCCCUUUUUUGAAACGAGGUAUUUUGGGCUCCUUCCCCAGCUAAAGUCAGGUAUUUCUAGCAGUUACUAGGAAUCAUCACUGAACUAUUUGAUUCUCCCCCCAGGUGUCAGGUAUUCCAGUUGUUACUAGAAAUCAUCACUAAACUCCUAUAUUUUCCUCAACAGAGUCAGGUAUUCUAGUCGUUGUUAAGAAUCAUCAUUGAACCUUCUUGAGAAAUUUAUCCCCAGUCGAGUCAGAUAUUCCAGCCUUCACCAGGAAUCAUC
rnacentral:lncRNA from 1 species